rnacentral:rRNA from 1 species
UACGUAGGGUCCGAGCGUUGUCCGGAAUUAUUGGGCGUAAAGCGUGCGCAGGCGGUUUUGUAAGUCAGCUGUGAAAUCCCCGGGCUUAACCUGGGAAUGGCAUUUGGGACUGCAAGGCUGGAGUGCGGCAGAGGAGACUGGAAUUCCUGGUGUAGCAGUGAAAUGCGUAGAUAUCAGGAGGAACACCGAUGGCGAAGGCAGGUCUCUGGGCUGACACUGACGCUCAUGCACGAAAGCGUGGGGAGCAAACAGG